UGAGGAAUAUUGGGCAAUGCCCGCAAGGGUGACCCAGCAACGCCGCGUGGAGGAUGAAUGUCGUAAGAUUGUAAACUCCUGUUAGAGGGGAAGAAUAGUACCGGUUGGACCGGUAUAUGACUGUACCCUCAGAGAAAGCCCCGGCUAACUACGUGCCAGCAGCCGCGGUAAUACGUAGGGGGCAAGCGUUGUCCGGAUUUACUGGGUGUAAAGGGCGCGCAGGCGGAAUGGAAAGUCAGUGGUGAAAUCCUACAGCUUAACUGUAGAACUGCCUUUGAUACUUUCAUUCUUGAGUUCGGGAGAGAGAGACGGAAUUCCAGGUGUAGUGGUGAAAUACGUAGAUAUCUGGAAGAACACCAGUUGCGAAGGCGGUCUCUUGGUCCGAUACUGACGCUGAGGCGCGAAAGCGUGGGGAGCAAAC
rnacentral:rRNA from 1 species